AGAAAAUGUUACAAACUACUGGACAUAUGAAGGCUCACUGACCACACCCCCAUGUUGCGAAAGUGUACAGUGGAUAGUUCUGAAAGAUCCAAUCUCUGUCUCUCCUGAACAAAUUCGGGCACUGCGAAACUUGUGCUGUGAU
rnacentral:sRNA from 1 species